UCAAAGCCCCGUCGGCAGCCGUCACUAUUUCAUUACGAGUUAUUUACAACAAUACGGUACAAAUAGAACCAACGUUGGAAAAAAAAAAAAUAGUUAAAAAUGUAUUUUACCGUCCGACGUAUUAUGGCUGUAUUUUUUUUCGUUACCUUUAACAUUAAUUCGUUAUCUGCAAAUCGGGAUUAACUUUAACAGAAGCAAUUUGGAAAAAUUAAAAAAAUCCAGGCACCAUACAAAACAUCCAGUGCCAGUUCUCGGAACCGGCGAGCAAAAUUCUAAAAACGCAUUGGAUUUUGGUACGAACCAAACAGGAAUACACGUUUCAAAGUACAAUAUUAAUUGUUUUUAACGAUUUACAUCGUGCGUACGUAUUGUCUAUGACGAGCGAGUUGUAGAUCAACAGCUAUCGGCCAUUAAAUUAAACACCAGUACUGAUAAACUGAUAGACCAAACAUCAAAACCUGUGACAACUGGCGAGGCAGAACAAUACAAUAAUAUUAUAUUAAUAUGUUAUAUUAUUUAACAUGGCGUGGUACGGGGUACCUCUAUUAUGUACACAACACGGUAUAAUAUGAAUAUCGUAAUUCAGAUUUAAUUUUUCCACCGUACACGCAUGCGCUAUAAAUUUAAUAGUGCCAUCUGCUAAUAUUUAUAAUGAAACUGCGACGGUGCCAAGUGUUUUCGGCGACCUACAAAUAUUUCCUAAGUAACCUUGCCUACGGCUCAGAAGAGUGAAGGGUACUGCGGCAACAUUGUCCUAGCAGGUGUCGCGUUCGGUGUUGUCAUUAUUACAGUGGCCGCCGAAUUCAUACAUAAAAUACGUAAAUAAAAGAAAACCGUUUAUUUACAUUUGAACCGUUCGCUGGAAAAUAUCGUCGAUUCUAUUGAAUUGGCCAUAUUCAUAAAUAAGGUACACCGUACUCGCUGCAUCUUAGUUAACAUUAAAAAUAGGAAAUAAACGAUUUUAAAAUUAAAAUGUGUGUGUAUUUUUCAUGUUUCUAAAUCAAUAAAAAUAAAAAUCUCGACUUGCCUAGUGUUCUUGCAAUCGGCAGAUUUAGGCAAGCUAAAGUCAAGAUCUAUCGAGCGAUGGACGACCAAUGUUAUAUUUAAGAUUAUAAACAUCAUAAAUGUUUUGUAAACAUUCUAGUCACGGAUUAAAAAUUGUACCCUUCAGCAAUUAUUAAAAUUAGGUUGUAUCGAGUUACUUCGCCGUUCAAUGUUA